AUGAGAGGAAGCUCAAAGACAUCAUGGACCAUCAUCCUCUUUACACUGAGCCCAGGCAGCUCAGGAGCUUUGAGCCACAGACUGACCCAGAACAUAGCCUCGAAGCGGGUUGGAGGCCUCAUACUCAACAACCACAGCUCCCAGUACCUCCUCAACCACAGCUCCCAGUACCUCCUCAACCACAGCUCCCAGUACCUCCUCAACCACAGCUCCCAGUACCUCCAACCUCCACAACCACAGCACCCAGUACCUCCUCAACCACAGCUCCCAGUACCUCCUCAACCACAGCACCCAGUACCUCCUCAACCACAGCUCCCAGUACCUCCUCAACCACAGCUCCCAGUACCUCCUCAACCACAGCUCCCAGUACCUCCAACCUCCACAACCACAGCACCCAGUACCUCCUCAACCACAGCUCCCAGUACCUCCCCAACCACAGCACCCAGUACCUCCUCAACCACAGCUCCCAGUACCUCCUCAACCACAGCACCCAGUACCUCCUCAACCACAGCUCCCAGUACCUCCUCAACCACAGCUCCCAGUACCUCCAACCUCCACAACCACAGCACCCAGUACCUCCUCAACCACAGCUCCCAGUACCUCCUCAACCACAGCACCCAGUACCUCCUCAACCACAGCUCCCAGUACCUCCUCAACCACAGCUCCCAGUACCUCCUCAACCACAGCUCCCAGUACCUCCAACCUCCACAACCACAGCACCCAGUACCUCCUCAACCACAGCUCCCAGUACCUCCUCAACCACAGCACCCAGUACCUCCUCAACCACAGCUCCAAGUACCUCCAACCUCCACAACCACAGCUCCCAGUACCUCCAACCUCCACAACCACAGCUCCCAGUACCUCCAACCUCCACAACUACAGCACCCAGUACCUCCUCAACCACAGCACCCAGUACCUCCUCAACCACAGCUCCCAGUACCUCCUCAACCACAGCUCCCAGUACCUCCAACCUCCACAACCACAGCACCCAGUACCUCCUCAACCACAGCUCCCAGUACCUCCUCAACCACAGCUCCCAGUACCUCCAACCUCCACAACCACAGCACCCAGUACCUCCUCAACCACAGCACCCAGUACCUCCUCAACCACAGCACCCAGUACCUCCUCAACCACAGCUCCAAGUACCUCCAACCUCCACAACCACAGCUCCCAGUACCUCCAACCUCCACAACCACAGCUCCCAGUACCUCCAACCUCCACAACUCAGCACCCAGUCCUCCUCAACCACAGCACCCAGUACCUCCUCAACCACAGCACCCAGUACCUCCUCAACCACAGCUCCCAGUACCUCCUCAACCACAGCUCCCAGUACCUCCAACCUCCACAACCACAGCACCCAGUACCUCCUCAACCACAGCUCCCAGUACCUCCUCAACCACAGCUCCCAGUACCUCCUCAACCACAGCUCCCAGUACCUCCAACCUCCACAACCACAGCACCCAGUACCUCCUCAACCACAGCUCCCAGUACCUCCUCAACCACAGCACCCAGUACCUCCUCAACCACAGCUCCCAGUACCUCCUCAACCACAGCACCCAGUACCUCCUCAACCACAGCUCCAAGUACCUCCAACCUCCACAACCACAGCACCCAGUACCUCACCUCCACAACCACAGCACCCAGUACCUCCUCAACCACAGCUCCCAGUACCUCCUCAACCACAGCUCCAAGUACCUCCAACCUCCACAACCACAGCUCCCAGUACCUCCAACCUCCACAACCACAGCUCCCAGUACCUCUAACCUCCACAACCACAGCUCCCAGUACCUCCACCCUCCGCAGACUAACACUGGUUUUAUUUAUAUUUAA
ensembl:lncRNA